UAGCAGCUCACUCUUCAGUGCUUUAAAGCAAAUGAUCCUCAGGAAAGAAAAGGUAUUUGCUUAUUGCAGGUGCAGAGAGGCUCAGAUUGGAACUUUUCCCUGAAGCUAUAUUGUAGCCCAGAUUUCCUGAUGUAACUUGCUUUAUUUAAAGACAUCAGUAAGCUUUUUCAGUGGCACAUCAAUACUUCAUAACACUAGGAAGGUUGAAGAUUAUUCUCUCUUCUAAAGAAAGUAGAAGGAUAUUAGGAGAAUAGACACUUUAAAAUGUUCACUCUUUUAUUCACAUUACAUCAUCUGUCUUGAAUAAUGGGUCUAUCUCUUUCCUGUUGCUCUGGCCCUGAAAAAAAAAAAAUCAGCUUUUUAAGCCUGCUUUUGUUACGUGUGCAUUUUCUUGUAAUCCCAUCAUUCUGGGAUUUAAUAAUAAUAGUAUUAAUACCACCUACCAUUUGUUGGUUACUUACUGUGUUUUAGGCACUGUGCUAAACGCCUUCCACAUAUUCAUCUCAUUAGUAAACAUUUCUGAAACUAUUCUUAC
rnacentral:sRNA from 1 species